rnacentral:rRNA from 1 species
AUUGAACGCUGGAGGCAGGCCUAACACAUGCAAGUCGAACGAGUGGCGGAUGGGUGAGUAAUGUCUGGGAAACUGCCUGAAGGAGGGGGUUAACUACCGGAAACGGUAGCUAAUACGGCAUACCAUCGGAGGUGCCAAGAUGGGAUUAGCUAGUAGGUGGGGUAAAGGCUCACCUAGACGAAGAUCCCUAGCUGGUCUGAGAGGAUGACCAGCCACACGGGAACUGAGACACGGUCCAGACUCCUACGGGAGGCAGCAGUGGGGAAUAUUUCACCAUGGGCGCAAGCCUGAUGCAGCCAUGCCGCGUGUAUGAAGAAGUCCUUCGGGUUGUAAAGUACUUUCAGCGGGGGGGCGUUACCCGCAGAAGAAGCACCGGCUAACUCCGUGCCAGCAGCCGCGGUAAUAC